ACUACAUGUACAGGAUAGGUGGGAGGCUUUGAAACCAGGACGCCAGUUUUGGCGGAGCCAUCCUUGGGAUACCACCCUUGUAGUACUGGGACUCUAACCAUAGGCCAUGAAUCUGGUCUUGGGACACUGUCAGGUGGGCAGUUUGACUGGGGCGGUCGCCUCCCAAAAGGUAACGGAGGCGCUCAAAGGUUCUCUCAGUACGGUCGGAAAUCGUACGUAGAGUGUAAAGGCAAAAGAGGGCUUGAUUGCAAGACAUACAGGUCGAGCAAGGAUGAAAAGCGGACUUAGUGAUCCGGUGGUUCUGCGUGGAAGGGCCAUCGCUCAACGGAUAAAAGCUACCCUGGGGAUAACAGGCUUAUCUCCCCCAAGAGUCCACAUCGACGGGGAGGUUUGGCACCUCGAUGUCGGCUCAUCACAUCCUGGGGCUGUAGUAGGUCCCCAGGGUUGGGCUGUUCGCCCAUUAAAGUGGUACGCGAGCUGGGUUCAGAACGUCGUGAGACAGUUCGGUCCCUAUCCGUCGCAGGCGUAGGAAAUUUGAG
rnacentral:rRNA from 1 species